UACGGGGGGGGCAAGCGUUGUUCGGAAUUACUGGGCGUAAAGGGCGCGUAGGCGGCCUGCUAAGUCACACGUGAAAUCCCUCGGCUCAACCGGGGAACUGCGUGUGAUACUGGCGGGCUUGAAUUCGGGAGAGGGAUGUGGAAUUCCAGGUGUAGCGGUGAAAUGCGUAGAUAUCUGGAGGAACACCGGUGGCGAAGGCGGCAUCCUGGACCGAGAUUGACGCUGAGGCGCGAAAGCGUGGGGAGCAAACAGG
rnacentral:rRNA from 1 species